rnacentral:rRNA from 1 species
AAUCUUCCGCAAUGGACGCAAGGCUGACGGAGCAACGCCGCGUGAGUGAUGAAGGUUUCGGAACGGAAAAACCUUGUUGUAGGGAAGGAAAAAGAAGCGGAGUAACUCCCGGUACCUGACGGUAACUUAACUGAAAACCUCGGCUUAACUACUUCCAACCAGCCGCGGUAAUACGUAGGUGGCAAGCGUUGUCCGGAUUUAUUGGGCGUAAAGCGCGCGCAGGCGGUCUUUUAAGUCUGAUGUGAAAUCUUACAGCUUAACUGUAAGCGGUCAUUGGAAACUGGGAGACUUGAGUGCAGAAGAGGAGAGUGGAAUUCCAUGUGUAGCGGUGAAAUGCGUAGAGAUAUGGAGGAACACCAGUGGCGAAGGCGACUCUCUGGUCUGUAACUGACGCUGAGGCGCGAAAGCGUGGGGAUCAAACA